UCAGGCUCUCCUGGAGAGGUGAGGUCUCACCUGUGUGGCAGCUGGUGGGACUGAGCAGCCAGCAGGGGACUGUGGUGACUUCUCUGUGGUCCCUGUGUUCCAAAACAGGGAGAGAUGUCCUUGCAGGCACAAGUGUUGGCAUCAGACAAGCAUCUCUGUUAGCAGAGAGGCUGAGGAUGGAGCAUGCCAUGUAAAUGACUUCUUGGCUAACAAGCCCAUCAGGUGGGUCAGAGGUGCAGAGCUGUGGAAUUCCUGCAGAAUCGAUGCCCUCUAAUGCCCAUUGCAGGCGUGGUAACUUGAGGCUCUCUCCAUCCCUGUGGGAUCUGAGUUCUUCUUGGCAGUGAUGAAGCUGCAGCCUCGGGAAGGUCCAAGUCAGUGUGGGCCACAGGAUCCAAAAUACUGCAGAGGACAUCCCUCCUUCACCACUCAUAAACCAAGCAACAGACGGCUGUAUUCAGAAUGGAAUGUUUGCUGACCUGAGACCUGAAAGACCUUGAGCUCUUGUGAGUUCAUGGUUUUAGAUUCAAAUCUCCCACUGGUCUCCAGAAUCACCUCAGGUAUAUGAUGAGGAAAGAGUGAAGGCACCACUAUUAACCUAGAAUGUUGCUUGGGAGAUCUAAGAAAAAAUUUCCUUCAUCUUCUGGGACCUUGGUUCUGUUACAACCUUGUUGGGAAGAAGCUUUAAAGAGAAGUACUCCUGGCUCUGCUGAGCUCUUAGAGGGGAAUGAAAAGAAAGAAGGAUACUCCCUGUGCUCAUAUUCAGUGUAAUCAAAUCAUGAUCACUGGCCCCUGUAGCUGCUUCCAGGGACUGACAGCUCCUGCUGCAACAGGUCUGAAUGAGCAUCCAGCACCACAACAGAAAGGAAUGGAGGGGUUGAAGGCCAGAAGCCAGAAACUCGGCCUUUGAGGCACUCAGAGGAGGCACUGGGGUCAGAGGAAUCUGGUGUCCCCUUCCAGGCAGCUGUGUCUCCUUCCACCCAGCUCUGCAGGUGUCAGUGAGCAGUGAGAACAGAGAACCAAGACCAGCCUUGGAUUUGACACAUAACGCUGUGGCUGGAUCCAAAAGACACAAGACAUUACUUCUUGGAGAUCUCCAAAAAACAGAGCCAGAGUAUCUGCUGACUUCAAGAAACCUUGGCCGAAGGAAGGCUGCCCCACACUGCAAACACAAAAGCAUGAGGCUGCUUUGCUGGGAGCAAGCUUUCAUACUAGAAAACACUUUUCUAAUAUCGCUCUUUUUAUGACUGAAUCUGAUGACAGCAGUGGUUGUUUUCUUCACAGUUCACAGAGAAUGGCCAUCAAAAAAUAGCCAACUUUUCCUUCCUCUCUCAUGAAAGUCUCCAUAACCUUGGUGUGAAUUUAUAGUCUGUCGUUGCGUUUUGAGACGCCAUAUGUGUGAGACAAUAAGAGGGAGGUAGACAUUUUGUUUCCAAAAAUUAUGCCACACUUUGCACUAUUACAGCAUGGUGGACAAUGUAUAUCAUUUAAAGUAGCAAGAACAGGUCUGGGGCAAGGGAAGACCUUGUGGUAAGCACAAAUGUCUCUUGUCCUUGGGGACAAAGAAAAAAAAAAACCUAAAUCCCACCCUCCACUAAUUAAUGUAAUACAAUCCAUUCAAACAGGAAGAAAGUUCUGAAUUGUUUUUUAAUUAUUUCCCAUGAAUAAAUCUUCUUUGACAGGAAAGAAUCAGCAGUACCCAGUGAAGGGCAACUAUUUCAUUGCAAGAGUCUAUUCAGCCUGAGGGUGACAUCCUAGCUGGGAGAUUUAUGAAGAAACUACUAUCACAUCUGAAUUUUUUGAGUCCCUUUACUUUGGUUGACCCUAAUGAUUUGGUGUCACCUUGUGGAUUUUGCUAAUCCUAUCUUCUCUUGCUCAGCAAAUGAAGUCCAAAAGAACCCGAAACACCUCUGCCUCUGCUUUUGCUAUUCCUGUGGCUAUUAACUGUUGCUAAUAUUGUUAAUAUAUUUAAUAGUAGUAAUAGUGGUAUUAAAAUAGCAGCCCCUUAGAAAUUCCUGGACUAGAACAUCACUGGAAAAAGCACCUAACAAAAAACACAAGUUUCUUGAUCUGUAAUGUUUAGGAUUUAUCUGCUGGCAUCGUUUGGGCAAACAACCCGUGGCAAAGUGUCUUAGCCUUCAGAGCCACUGAAGCUGGAUUGCACCUCUGAGAUCCAUUGCCUUAUUCCUGCAAAUUACAUCACUGUGUGGGCAGUGUCUGGCUGUGCCUGCCUGGGGGUGUGUGAGCUGGUGAUGUGCCUCCCGCCCCCCGGUCCUGAGAGCAGAACCAGCGGGGAUGGCAGCACAAGCUGAUGGCUCUGUGCCAGGCUGUGUCGGUGCCAGAAGAGUCUCCAGCCAUUAGCCAAACUCAAUUUUGUUAUUGUCCUAUUAAGAAAAGGCUGAGAGCCAUGUGGAGACAUCUGAAAAGCUAAAUCUGGGCUGUGGCAGGAGGCAUUAGGAUAAGUUGAACGCUGCUGCUCCAGGCAGUCAAGCAAGCUGUUUUGAUUGUACCCAGGUCCUGAACCACGGAAUAUAUGUUGUUCCCCAUGCUCCUUGAUACAGAAGCUCUGAACUCAUUCAAAGCUGCUUUUAUGUGUCCAUGGGAUGCAUGUCCAAAUCACAGAUCCCUGCUACAUGACAGGGCCAAUGGAGCACUGACUCUGUACUGAGCUGAUGCCAUCAGUUCUGGGUUAGCCUGUUUGCUUUCCCUCUGCCCUGAUCAUAGUGCAGCAUACAGGCAUGUGAUUAGGUGACCAGACCUUCAGUGUAGAAGGAAAACGAAUGAAAAGAAUAAAAAUGAAACCCAAAAAGAAGAAAAAAAUCGUGACAUGAAAUAAAUGUUUAAUGGAAAAUCAUAAUAUUCGGUAAGGGUAAGAAUAAAAUUUAGUUCCUUUCAUAAUUUCCUGAAAUGUUCUCAACCAUCUAUGUGCUAGCAAUAUUUUACCUUGUUAUUAACAUUACCAACUAGAUGCAGCUUAAAAUAACAUGUUUUCCCCAUGAAUUAGAAUGCUGAUACAAAUGGUCAAGUUACUAUAAUUCUCUUUUAAAGUCUUGGCAAGCAACUACAGGUCAAUUAUUAUGAUUACUUUUGCUAUUAAUCAUGGUAUUAUUUACUACACCAAAACAAUUGUGAUUUUUUUCUCUCCAAAGCAAGGAUUUAUGAUUUUUGUUUCUCAGCCUUUCUUUUAAAAAAUUAUUUUAGA